rnacentral:rRNA from 1 species
UGACCUCAAAUCAGGUAGGACUACCCGCUGAACUUAAGCAUAUCAAUAAGCGGAGGAAAAGAAACUAACAAGGAUUCCCCUAGUAACUGCGAGUGAAGCGGGAAAAGCUCAAAUUUAAAAUCUGGCGGUCUUUGGUCGUCCGAG